GUAAACGGCGGCCGUAACUAUAACGGUCCUAAGGUAGCGAAAUUCCUUGUCGGGUAAGUUCCGACCUGCACGAAUGGCGUAAUGAUGGCCAGGCUGUCUCCACCCGAGACUCAGUGAAAUUGAACUCGCUGUGAAGAUGCAGUGUACCCGCGGCAAGACGGAAAGACCCCGUGAACCUUUACUAUAGCUUGACACUGAACAUUGAGCCUUGAUGUGUAGGAUAGGUGGGAGGCUUUGAAGCGUGGACGCCAGUCUGCGUGGAGCCAACCUUGAAAUACCACCCUUUAAUGUUUGAUGUUCUAACGUUGGCCCCUUACCGGGGUUGCGGACAGUGUCUGGUGGGUAGUUUGACUGGGGCGGUCUCCUCCCAAAGCGUAACGGAGGAGCACGAAGGUUAGCUAAUCCUGGUCGGACAUCAGGAGGUUAGUGCAAUGGCAUAAGCUAGCUUGACUGCGAGCGUGACGGCGCGAGCAGGUGCGAAAGCAGGUCAUAGUGAUCCGGUGGUUCUGAAUGGAAGGGCCAUCGCUCAACGGAUAAAAGGUACUCCGGGGAUAACAGGCUGAUACCGCCCAAGAGUUCAUAUCGACGGCGGUGUUUGGCACCUCGAUGUCGGCUCAUCACAUCCUGGGGCUGAAGUAGGUCCCAAGGGUAUGGCUGUUCGCCAUUUAAAGUGGUACGCGAGCUGGGUUUAGAACGUCGUGAGACAGUUCGGUCCCUAUCUGCCGUGGGCGCUGGAGAAUUGAGGGGGGCUGCUCCUAGUACGAGAGGACCGGAGUGGACGCAUCACUGGUGUUCGGGUUGUCAUGCCAAUGGCACUGCCCGGUAGCUAAAUGCGGAAGAGAUAAGUGCUGAAAGCAUCUAAGCACGAAACUUGCCCCGAGAUGAGUUCUCCCUGACCCUUUAAGGGUCCUGAAGGAACGUUGAAGACGACGACGUUGAUAGGCCGGGUGUGUAAGCGCAGCGAUGCGUUGAGCUAACCGGUACUAAUGAACCGUGAGGCUUAACCUU
rnacentral:rRNA from 1 species